rnacentral:rRNA from 1 species
UACCAGCUCUCCGAGUUGUAGGGAUGAUUAUUGGGCUUAAAGCGUCCGUAGCUGGCUUAGCAAGUCUCCUGUUAAAUUCAGCGACCUAAUCGUUGAGCCGCGGGAGAUACUACUAGGCUAGGAGGCGGGAGAGGUCGACGGUACUUUCGGGGUAGGGGUGAAAUCCUAUAAUCCCGGGAGGACCACCAGUGGCGAAGGCUGUCGACUAGAACGCGCUCGACGGUGAGGGACGAAAGCUGGGGGGAGCGAACCGGAUUAGAUACCCGGGUAGUCCCAGCUGUAAACUAUGCGGGCUAGGUGUUGGGGUGGCUACGGGCCACUUCAGUGCCGCAGGAAAGCCAUUAAGCCCGCCGCCUGGGGAGUACGGCCGCAAGGCUGAAACUUAAAGGAAUUGGCGGGGGAGCACAACAAGGCGUGAAGCUUGCGGUUC